rnacentral:tRNA from 1 species
AUUUUAAUAGCUUAAUUAGAGCAUUACAUUGAAGAUGUAGGGGUGACGUUUGUCUUAUAAUA